UACGUAGGUGGCGAGCGUUGUCCGGAUUUACUGGGCGUAAAGAGCGCGCAGGCGGUCGUACAAGUCGCGUGUGAAAGCCCCCGGCUCAACUGGGGAGGGUCACGCGAUACUGUUCGACUCGAAGGCAGGAGAGGGAAGUGGAAUUCCCGGUGUAGUGGUGAAAUGCGUAGAUAUCUGGAGGAACACCAGAGGCGAAGGCGAAUCACUGGACUGCAACUGACGCUGAGGCGCGAAAGCUAGGGGAGCAAACAGG
rnacentral:rRNA from 1 species